CCUAUCAUCACAUGUUUAAAAGCCCUCAAUGCGGUUGAACUUUAUCAGGCACCUGAUUUUUGGCCUCUACUUGAAAACAGUCAGUGGAUGUAAGAAUAGCAGCUGAUCUCCCUGACCGCCUGUGGCCCUGAUCUUGCUUUGGGCCAGCAGCAUAAGAUGAGGGCCAGAGGCCAGCCACAGAGCAAGCCCUGGGUGGGAGUGAUGGUCAGGACUGGGUCCUAGGGAGAUAAUGCUGCCCCACAAGACAAUGACCUGUGAGAUGGUGUGGAAUAUGAAAUUUACCUUGGAAGACUCAUGGACACUGUUGUUGAGGAUUCAAAAUUUCAUGAUAAAGCUCCAGUGUAUCUGACUAACACGUACUGAAUUCUCAGAAGCCUUCUUGUGAUCUUACAUCACCAGGGCAAUUACUCUGUUUUAUAUGCAAACUAGUCCAUAAAUUUAAUGGAUUUUUUUUUUGAAAACUGAAAGAAACGCAAACUGAUGUGUGUAUUUUUCACUCCAUGGGCUACAUGUCUAGAGGAUGGUCUUUGGCAGUAUUGAUCUGCUUCUGCAGUCUGGGUUUUCAAAUAAUCAAACAAAAAUUGAUCCUUUAUGUAGUUUGUUUCCAGCAGCCCCAGAGCUAAGAGUUUUCUUAUAUUUUUCUCCUGUGACUCUCUGAUUAUUACAGUGUUAUAGAAAUCAAUAUUUACAAUAGAAAUGGAAAAUCAAAUGCUUCCACUAAUUUGGUUCAUGCACCACAGCCAUUUCCAUGGGGUUUGACUGUCACAGGCCACAGUCCUAUAAGAAAAGUGAAACACAGUGGGGAAAGAAUGCUGAAGAGGGAGGUGGUGAGAAGCAGAUGAAAGCAGAGGUGGGAGAGCCAGGUACUGUGAUCCCAGUCAGGACACCUGGCCCUCCUGAGGAGGCACUGGUAACACCAUGUGUGUAUUUGAUAAGAUAGAAACUUUGUUUUAUCUAACACAGUCAUUGAGGUUUGAGGAAAAGAAUGGGGCAAAACAGUAGAUUCUUCUUCUCUUUUCCCUCAGUUACAAAAUCAGUUUUACUGAAAAUAAAUACUGGAAUAAGAUAGGCUGUCAUUUUUCAGCUAGAAAUGAGGUGAAGUGCUCCUGCCUUUUCAGCUUUUAUAUUUUCAAACACUUUAAAAAAAGAAAAUCUGAUAAUGAAUAUACAUAAUCCCAGACACAUCAUUUUUAACAAUUUAUCUGG